UGGGUAAGUCAGACACCCACUUGCCUGGAA
rnacentral:piRNA from 1 species